rnacentral:rRNA from 1 species
CUUUCCCUCUUUCUUCAGGCCUAACACAUGCAAGUCGAGCGGAUGAAGGGAGCUUGCUCCUGGAUUCAGCGGCGGACGGGUGAGUAAUGCCUAGGAAUCUGCCUGGUAGUGGGGGAUAACGUCCGGAAACGGGCGCUAAUACCGCAUACGUCCUGAGGGAGAAAGUGGGGGAUCUUCGGACCUCACGCUAUCAGAUGAGCCUAGGUCGGAUUAGCUAGUUGGUGGGGUAAAGGCCUACCAAGGCGACGAUCCGUAACUGGUCUGAGAGGAUGAUCAGUCACACUGGAACUGAGACACGGUCCAGACUCCUACGGGAGGCAGCAGUGGGGAAUAUUGGACAAUGGGAGAAAGCCUGAUCCAGCCAUGCCGCGGGUGUGAAGAAGGUCUUCGGAUUGUAAAGCACUUUAAGUUGGGAGGAAGGGCAGUAAGUUAAGACCUUGCUGUUUGGACGUGACCAACAGAAUAAGCACCGGCGAACUUCGU